rnacentral:rRNA from 1 species
UACGGGGGGGGCAAGCGUUGUUCGGAAUUACUGGGCGUAAAGGGCUCGUAGGCGGCCAACUAAGUCAUACGUGAAAUCCCUCGGCUUAACCGGGGAACUGCGUCUGAUACUGGAUGGCUUGAGUUCGGGAGAGGGAUGCGGAAUUCCAGGUGUAGCGGUGAAAUGCGUAGAUAUGACCCGGAACACCUAUUGCGAAGGCAGCAGGCUAAACAAAUAUUGACGCUGAGGCUCGAAAGCGUGGGGAUCAAACAGG